UAAGGUUAAGUUAAUAAGGGCGCACGGUGGAUGCCUUGGCACUAGGAGCCGACGAAGGACGUGACAAACGACGAUAUGCCUUGGGUAGCUGUAAGUAAGCGAUGAUCCAGGGAUUUCCGAAUGGGGGAACCCAACAGGUAAUACCUGUUACCCACAUCUGUUAAGGAUGUGAGGAGGAAGACGCAGUGAACUGAAACAUCUAAGUAGCUGCAGGAAGAGAAAGCAAAAGCGAUUGCCUUAGUAGCGGCGAGCGAAACGGCAGAAGGGCAAACCGAAGAGUUUACUCUUCGGGGUUGUAGGACUGCAAUGUGGACUCAAAGAUUAUAGAAGAAUGAUUUGGGAAGAUCAGCCAAAGAGAGUAAUAGCCUCGUAUUUAAAAUAGUCUUUGUACCUAGCAGUAUCCUGAGUACGGCGGGACACGUGAAAUCCCGUCGGAAUCUGGGAGGACCAUCUCCCAACCCUAAAUACUCCCUAGUGACCGAUAGUGAACCAGUACCGUGAGGGAAAGGUGAAAAGCACCCCGGGAGGGGAGUGAAAUAGAACCUGAAACCGUGUGCCUACAACAAGUUCGAGCCCGUUAAUGGGUGAGAGCGUGCCUUUUGUAGAAUGAACCGGCGAGUUACGUUAUGAUGCGAGGUUAAGUUGAAGAGACGGAGCCGUAGGGAAACCGAGUCUGAAUAGGGCGCCUUAGUAUCAUGACGUAGACCCGAAACCAUGUGACCUACCCAUGAGCAGGUUGAAGGUGCGGUAAGACGCACUGGAGGACCGAACCAGGGCACGUUGAAAAGUGCUUGGAUGACUUGUGGGUAGCGGAGAAAUUCCAAACGAACUUGGAGAUAGCUGGUUCUCUCCGAAAUAGCUUUAGGGCUAGCGUCGACAUUAGAGAUUCUUGGAGGUAGAGCACUGUUUGGGUGAGGGGUCCAUCCCGGAUUACCAAUCUCAGAUAAACUCCGAAUGCCAAUGAAUUAUGGUCGGCAGUCAGACUGCGAGUGCUAAGAUCCGUAGUCGAAAGGGAAACAGCCCAGACCACCAGCUAAGGUCCCAAAAUAAUUGUUAAGUGGAAAAGGAUGUGGGGUUGCACAGACAACUAGGAUGUUAGCUUAGAAGCAGCUAUUCAUUCAAAGAGUGCGUAAUAGCUCACUAGUCGAGUGACCCUGCGCCGAAAAUGUACCGGGGCUAAAACAAUUUACCGAAGCUGUGGAUACCUUUAUAGGUAUGGUAGGAGAGCGUUCUAUGUGUGAUGAAGGUAUACCGUGAGGAGUGCUGGAACGCAUAGAAGUGAGAAUGCCGGUAUGAGUAGCGAAAGACAGGUGAGAAUCCUGUCCACCGUAAGACUAAGGUUUCCAGGGGAAGGCUCGUCCGCCCUGGGUUAGUCGGGACCUAAGGAGAGACCGAAAGGUGUAUCCGAUGGACAACAGGUUGAUAUUCCUGUACUAGAGUAUGUAGUGAUGGAGGGACGCAGUAGGCUAACUAAAGCAGACGAUUGGAAGAGUCUGUCUAAGCAGUGAGGUGUGAAUUGAGUCAAAUGCUUAAUUCUAUAACAUUGAGCUGUGAUGGGGAGCGAAGUUUAGUAGCGAAGUUAGUGACGUCACACUGCCAAGAAAAGCUUCUAGCGUUUAAACAUACUCUACCCGUACCGCAAACCGACACAGGUA
rnacentral:rRNA from 1 species